rnacentral:rRNA from 1 species
UAGGGAAUCUUCCACAAUGGACGCAAGUCUGAUGGAGCAACGCCGCGUGAGUGAAGAAGGUUUUCGGACCGUAAAGCUCUGUUGUUGGUGAAGAAGGAUAGAGGUAGUAACUGGCCUUUAUUUGACGGUAAUCAACCAGAAAGUCACGGCUAACUACGUGCCAGCAGCCGCGGUAAUACGUAGGUGGCAAGCGUUGUCCGGAUUUAUUGGGCGUAAAGCGAGCGCAGGCGGAAGAAUAAGUCUGAUGUGAAAGCCCUCGGCUUAACCGAGGAAUUGCAUCGGAAACUGUUUUCUUGAGUGCAGAAGAGGAGAGUAGAACUCCAUGUGUAGCGGUGGAAUGCGUAGAUAUAUGGAAGAAUACCAGUGGCGAAGGCGGCUCUCUGGUCUGCAACUGACGCUGAGGCUCGAAAGCAUGGGUAGCGAACAGGAUUAGAUACCCUGGUAGUCCAUGCCGUAAACGAUGAGUGCUAAGUGUUGGGGA